GACGAACGCUGGCGGCGUGCCUAAUACAUGCAAGUCGAGCGGACGAUUCGAAAGCUUGCUUUUGAAUCGUUAGCGGCGGACGGGUGAGUAACACGUGGGCAACCUGCCCUGUAGACGGGGAUAACACCGAGAAAUCGGUGCUAAUACCGGAUAACACGAAAUGUCGCAUGACGUUUCAUUGAAAGGCGGCGCAAGCUGCCGCUACAGGAUGGGCCCGCGGCGCAUUAGCUAGUUGGUGAGGUAACGGCUCACCAAGGCGACGAUGCGUAGCCGACCUGAGAGGGUGAUCGGCCACACUGGGACUGAGACACGGCCCAGACUCCUACGGGAGGCAGCAGUAGGGAAUCUUCCGCAAUGGACGAAAGUCUGACGGAGCAACGCCGCGUGAGCGAAGAAGGCCUUCGGGUCGUAAAGCUCUGUUGUUAGGGAAGAACAAGUAACGUAGUAACUGACGUUACUAUGACGGUACCUAACGAGAAAGCCACGGCUAACUACGUG
rnacentral:rRNA from 1 species